rnacentral:rRNA from 1 species
UACGCAGGGCGCAAGCGUUAUCCGGAAUUAUUGGGCGUAAAGAGCUCGUAGGCGGUUUGUCGCGUCUGCCGUGAAAGUCCGGGGCUCAACUCCGGAUCUGCGGUGGGUACGGGCAGACUAGAGUGAUGUAGGGGAGACUGGAAUUCCUGGUGUAGCGGUGAAAUGCGCAGAUAUCAGGAGGAACACCGAUGGCGAAGGCGGGUCUCUGGGCCGAUACUGACGCUGAGGAGCGAAAGCGUGGGGAGCGAACAGG